UGGCGGCGUGCUUACACAUGCAAGUCGAACGGUGAAGCGAGAGCUUGCCUCUCGUGGAUCAGUGGCGAACGGGUGAGUAACACGUGAGCAAUCUGCCCCUGACUCUGGGAUAAGCGCUGGAAACGGCGUCUAAUACUGGAUAUGAGCUGCGAAGGCAUCUUCAGCAGUUGGAAAGAUUUUUCGGUCAGGGAUGAGCUCGCGGCCUAUCAGCUUGUUGGUGAGGUAAUGGCUCACCAAGGCGUCGACGGGUAGCCGGCCUGAGAGGGUGACCGGCCACACUGGGACUGAGACACGGCCCAGACUCCUACGGGAGGCAGCAGUGGGGAAUAUUGCACAAUGGGCGCAAGCCUGAUGCAGCAACGCCGCGUGAGGGAUGACGGCCUUCGGGUUGUAAACCUCUUUUAGCAGGGAAGAAGCGAGAGUGACGGUACCUGCAGAAAAAGCACCGGCUAACUACGUGCCAGCAGCCGCGGUAAUACGUAGGGUGCAAGCGUUAUCCGGAAUUAUUGGGCGUAAAGAGCUCGUAGGCGGUUUGUCGCGUCUGCUGUGAAAUCCCGAGGCUCAACCUCGGGCCUGCAGUGGGUACGGGCAGACUAGAGUGCGGUAGGGGAGAUUGGAAUUCCUGGUGUAGCGGUGGAAUGCGCAGAUAUCAGGAGGAACACCGAUGGCGAAGGCAGAUCUCUGGGCCGUAACUGACGCUGAGGAGCGAAAGGGUGGGGAGCAAACAGGCUUAGAUACCCUGGUAGUCCACCCCGUAAACGUUGGGAACUAGUUGUGGGGUCCAUUCCACGGAUUCCGUGACGCAGCUAACGCAUUAAGUUCCCCGCCUGGGGAGUACGGCCGCAAGGCUAAAACUCAAAGGAAUUGACGGGGACCCGCACAAGCGGCGGAGCAUGCGGAUUAAUUCGAUGCAACGCGAAGAACCCUUACCAAGGCUUGACAUAUAGAGGAACGUCUGGGAAACAGUCGCCCGCAAGGUCUCUAUACAGGUGGUGCAUGGUUGU
rnacentral:rRNA from 1 species